UACGGGGGGGGCAAGCGUUGUUCGGAAUUACUGGGCGUAAAGGGCUCGUAGGCGGCCCACUAAGUCGGAUGUGAAAUCCCCAGGCUCAACCUGGGAACUGCAUCCGAUACUGGAUGGCUUGAAUCCGGGAGAGGGAUGCAGAAUUCCAGGUGUAGCGGUGAAAUGCGUAGAUAUCUGGAGGAAUACCGGUGGCGAAGGCGGCAUCCUGGACCGGCAUUGACGCUGAGGAGCGAAAGCUAGGGGAGCAAACGGG
rnacentral:rRNA from 1 species